GUACCUACAGAACACGAAUCUUUAUAUAAAUAUCGUACGAAUACCGACCAGAACGUAACGUACAAGAAAAAAAAAGAAAAAUUAUUUAUCGAUCGAACAAAAGGAAAACGUAAGGAUUUCUGUUAAAAUAUUUGGAUUGCUCGUUCGUGAAGUAAGUAUUUAGCGAUUUCGUAACUGAUGCAUAACCUUACUUAUAUAAUAUAACAAAAAAAAAAGAAAAAUUAUUUAUCGAUCGAACGCAUAACCUUACUUAUACGGUAUGCAACAAAAAAAAAAAAGAAAAAUUAUUUAUCGAUCGAACAAAAGAAAAACGUAAGGAUUUCUAUUAAAAUAUUUGGAUUCCUCGUAAGUUGAGAAUUUAGCGACUUCGUAACUGACGCAUCCGAGAAUUUCACGCAUAACCUUACUUAUACGAUAUACAACAGAAAAAAAGAAAAAUUAUUUAUCGAUCGAACGCAUAACCUUACUUAUGAGAUAUACAACAAAAAAAAAAAGAAAAUUAUUUAUCGAUCGAACAAAAGGAAAACAUAAGGAUUUCUAUUAAAAUAUUGUUGGAUUGUUCGUUCGUAAAGUAUUUAGCGAUUUCGUAACUAACGCAGAGAAUUUCACGCAUAACCUAACUUACACGGUAUGCAACAAAAAAAAGAAAAUUAUUUAUCGAUCGAACAAAAGGAAAACGUAAGGAUUUCUAUUAAAAUAUUUGGAUUGUUCGUUCGCAAAGUAAGUAUUUGGCGAUUUCGUAACUGACGCAUCCGAGAAUUCCAUGCAUAACCUUACUUAUGCGAUAUACAACAAAAAAAAAGAAAAAUUAUUUAUCGAUCGAACGCAUAACCUUACUUACACGGUAUGCAACAAAAAAAAAAAAAAAAGAAAAUUAUUUAUCGAUCGAACAAAAGGAAAACGUAAGGAUUUCUAUUAAAAUAUUUGGAUUGUUCGUUCGCAAAAUAUAUACGAAUCUAAGAAUAUACCUCGUAUUAGGUGUGCAGGGGUCGACGACUUGUACCACGAUGAAUGCAUGUAAGAAGUGGCUCGCGAUCAUAUCUGGACUGAAAGGGGUUGGCUCCUCUUGGAAUAUUAUCGCGACGAUGUCGUUCCCGAUGUGUCUUUUGCGCUGCAAUUGCUGCGAGUCCCCUGGACUGUACGGCAAAAGGGAGGCGACGUGGAACAACACUUCUCGGCCUCGAAAUACCUCGUACACCGCCGAAUCGCCCGUCUGCCCGUGUCUAGUGUCCAAACCUCCGCGAUACCUAUUUUUUUGUUGAAAAAAAAUUCAACAAAAAUUAUUUUCACAAUCAAUUCCAUAAAUAACUGAUACA